rnacentral:rRNA from 1 species
UACGUAGGAGGCAAGCGUUAUCCGGAAUGACUGGGCGUAAAGGGUGCGUAGGUGGUUUGGCAAGUUGGUAGCGUAAUCCCGGGGCUUAACUCCGGUGCUACUACCAAAACUGCUGGGCUUGAGUGCAGGAGGGGUGAAUGGAAUUCCUAGUGUAGCGAUGGAAUGCGUAGAUAUUAGGAAGAACACCAGCGGCGAAGGCGAUUCACUGGACUGUAACUGACACUGAGGCACGAAAGCGUGGGGAGCAAACAGG